AAACCGCGAUAGGUCAUCACUUCUGGAAUGGGUAAUGNNUUAAACCUAUAUGGCCCCUGGAUUGGACUGCGGCCGAUCAGGCUGUUGGUGAGGUAAUGGCCCACCAAACCUGUAACCGGUACGGGCUCUGAGAGGAGGAGCCCGGAGAUGGGCACUGAGACAAGGGCCCAGGCCCUAUGGGGCGCAGCAGGCGCGAAACCUCUGCAAUAGGCGAAAGCUUGACAGGGUUACUCUGAGUGAUUUCCGUUAAGGAGAUCUUUUGGCACCCCUAAAAAUGGUGCAGAAUAAGGGGUGGGCAAGUCUGGUGUCAGCCGCCGCGGUAAUACCAGCACCCCGAGUGGUCGGGACGUUUAUUGGGCCUAAAGCAUCCGUAGCCGGUUCUACAAGUCUUCCGUUAAAUCCACCUGCUUAACAGAUGGGCUGCGGAAGAUACUAUAGAGCUAGGAGGCGGGAGAGGCAAGCGGUACUCGAUGGGUAGGGGUAAAAUCCGUUGAUCCAUUGAAGACCACCAGUGGCGAAGGCGGCUUGCCAGAACGCGCUCGACGGUGAGGGAUGAAAGCUGGGGGAGCAAACCGGAUUAGAUACCCGGGUAGUCCCAGCUGUAAACGAUGCAGACUCGGUGAUGAGUUGGCUUAUUGCUAACUC
rnacentral:rRNA from 1 species